CUGGUGAUGUGGAGCCCUGGUGAUGUGGAGCACUGGUGACGUGGAGCACUGGUGACAUGGAGCACUGGUGACAUGGAGCACUGGUGCCGUGGCUGCAGCCACUGCCUCACGCCCAGCUCAGGGAAAGGAGUCCUCCAGCCCCCUCAGGACCUGAGAGCCAGCGAGGUCCUGAGGGAGCAGCCACAAGGCACCAAGGACAGCAGCAAGGGCCCUUCUUCAACUCCCCUCCCACACCUCUGAGCACCCCUUACCGCCAGCAGUUCAACAGCUGCAAGGGCUAUUCCUACAGGGAGUUUUGUUUGGUUGGGUUUUUGUUUGCAGGAGCUUCCCACUGUUUCAUUCCAACCUAAAGGCAACAUUUUGGGCAGCAGAAACUUUAUUUUGUAGUGGGCACAGAAAUUACUUCUGAUAUUGAUUGCACCCCCUGAGGUUCAGCUGACAGUUGAGGACACACAAAGGAUACACA